rnacentral:lncRNA from 1 species
CUCUACUUUAAUCUUGGCUUGUAGCCAUUUCAGGUUAAACAAUUUAACAUCAGUGCAAUAGCUGACCUUGAUGAUGUUUUUAUUCCCAUUGAAGGUAUACAACAAUAUUGCUGAAAACAUUGUACUAAAAAGCCUGGUAGUAGGCACACAGCCCUAUUUUACUCCAUUGGUGUCUGGGAAAACAAGAAAUCAUCAUCCAUUAUCCAGAACCCAUGACUCAACGAUGGAGUGGACAAGUCCCUAAAAGGCUCCCCAGAUUUCUAUCUCAGCAAUCCGUUCUUCCAUGUUUUUGAGAAGCAGGUUCCAACUAGGAUAGUAUCCCACACUGGUUCUAUAAUUUCUGAAGGAUGAAAACCAGGUCCCCUGGCUCCCAUGGCAGUGUUCUUUCCAUUACAUCCUGCUGGCUCUCCAUUUUAAAUGACACAGACAAAUGUUUGUUGGAUGAGAAAAUGAAUGGCAAGUAGUUGUGAGGAUGUUGGGGGGGGGGGGGCCGGGAUCAGGGGAAAGAGUGACUCAGUCUGGGAAUGCUGGUCUUGGGGACAGGUUCCACAAUGGGACAAUUAGCCUUCUAAGCCAGUUUUCAAUGAAAAUCUGACUUUUAAAAACUUUCAAUCAAUCAACAUAUCUUUAUUAAAUGCUGACUAUGUGCCAUGUGUUGUGCAAAGUUCUGGGAAUACAAAUGCAAUGAAUAAAACCAUCUCUCUUUGCA